CACAUUUUCUUUAAUCAUUUAUGGCAAUUGGGCUACAUAAAUUUAGGCGCAACGUACUUCCCCUUUCACUCACUCGAAUUGCAAUAUACUGAAGGUCGAGCGGUUUAGAAUUCACGACAAUGCUAUUUAAAUUAAAACAAUUAGAUCUCCAAUUGCGUAGUUAGUAUCAAUAACGACCAAUAGGAAAGAAUUGCGCAUUAUCUAAAGUGGAUAGCUUCAUCCGCCAUGAGCUUUGAUGACUAAUCUCAUUAUUGGUGGAAGCUUCAGUCGAGUAACACGUAUAAUCAAACUUGAAUUCAAGCAGUAGUGAAAUCACGUGUCGUGUGUGCCAUAAAGUCUAAAGCGAAGUUUAUCGCGUUUCGGUUCCUAAAUACAUUUUUACGUUUGAAAGUGCCUGUUGUGAGCCUUCGGAGAUUGAAUCAGGUUAAACCCCAUCCCAAAGUGGGUGGUUAUUUGGGACCCUACGAUCCGGCCAGACAAUUGGAUUCCGUCGGUUGGCAAGCCGCUUAGCAUCUACCAGUAUCGGUCCGAGGACAAAUCCACCUCGUGAGUGGCUGAUUCCAUUGUGCGAUAAGCCACGCGGUGCGGCCAUUCUGACGAAGUUGGACACGUGGGUCAGAUCCAGGAACCGUCGACAUUCUGCCUUCGCUUCGCUCAUCCUGGAGGAAGGAACCCAAAACCGUAAGCUAGUGCACGAAGAAAUUGAAAGAGCUCGAAAGUAAAAUUGUAAUCUAGCAGUAGAUUUGGCGCCAAAUAGAUUCAGUCGACGGAAGCUCACAGUUUUGCUUCGCGUUCGUCCAUUUCCUGUUGAUAGGAAAUAAAUUAUUAAAUAAAUUUGGAAUCUUUUGGAUUUGUAUAUACACUUAGAUUAGAUUGCAAAAUAAAUACUAAUUAAUUGGCGUGCUCUCCAACUGAUAGAAUUUUUGGAUUUAAUACCGACUGCACCAAACUUUAAUGAGAUCGUUCGAGCAGAUCCGUUUGAGAUAUUUAAGACGCAAGCCCGUUAGAUUUUAAGUUUCUUUCUACAGCUUCAAUUAAGGUAAGUUCGAGUGAGACUGGGAAAUACCAAACCUGCCCUGAGGAGAAGUCUCUGGCCGGACUAAACUGUUCCUGUGGCCUCUUUCCGAAGAGUGGCGCUUAAGUCACAGGAAUUGAUAACCUGUCCUCUUUCGCUGCCUAACUUGUGUUGAUUUGAUAGAAACGACCGUUGGUUGAACCAACGGACACGGGGAAAGGUUUCAUUUUGGCGCCCAACGUGGGGCCGAGAAUUUAGAAUUAUUAAUAAAUUGAAGUUGUAUUGGGCUAAGUUAGGAAAAAUAAACAAAAAUAGUAAGAUAAAAUAAUAAAUAGUUGUUGAAUAAUUGAAUUGGAUUCUUAGAUAAUAAGUUUGUUUUUUUUACGGUAUCUAUUGGAUUACAUAUCAUAUAAUUGAUUGCAUAUUAUUACAUUUUGGUACGAGUUGCGAGUUUGAUCACUAUAAUGUACAGUAUGUUUCAUGUUCUUAAUAUAGUUUGCAAUACCGCCCAAAGAUUUUAGUCCUAUCGAUCAUAAUUACUGUUAAUCUUCUUAAAUUAUUAUUGUAGAUAACCUAUAGUUAUAUAAGAGCUUUGGUAAAUAUUAAUUUGUGCUGAAAAAAUAGUAAUUUAAGCUUCAAACCUUGAGUUGUGUAUCUACAAAAUUAUAAGAAAAUUCGAAUUUCAACUACAUCAUCUUAAUCAAUAUUUCAAGAACAAGUAAGGUUGUCAAAGUGCAUUUUCAGUUGAAUAGCCCUUUUACAUUAUUGUUAACCAUCCCUCGUAAUAAUAAUGUGAAUAUAUUGCUCACUUAAAUCAUAAUCAACGUUGGCUGUCUUGCCCCAUAUGGCGAUCUUGCCCCUCUUUCCUCUAUAAAUUAAAUUUACACUCGUUUGCUCUCGAAUUGGAAUUCGAAUCGCAUGCCAGAAUUUCUUCUUAAUUCCUAGUUAGAUGAUACGUCGUUCAAGGAUGACAAGCUUCCUGCUUUUUGAACAUAUUGAACGAUGAGUAGCGACGAUAUUUAUU